CGUAAACAAGAGUAUUCUCUGACGGCUGACGAUUGCGCUGUAAGACAUAGACACGUUUCUUCCGAGCGCCGUAUUCUUGGAAUUUUGUAUUUUCGACAGAUCUGAGAGAAAAUAUCAGAACCUUCAAUAUCUGUUCAACGAAAAACUGAACUUAAAAAAAGUAUCAACAUCUGGGAAUUCUAUAGAAGUAUAAAAAAAACCACCAGGCGGAAAGUGUUUUAAUAUCAUUUGUCGUUGAGGAUGUCUUACCUGGCGAUCGACUCCAAUAGCUGGCCGGCCUAUACGCUUCGAAUUAGUCACCAUCUCAAAUAGAUGCGGUACGAGUUGGCUAAGGAAUUUGAGUACGGGGGUCUGCAAAUCGCUGAUAUGUACACCUUUUACAUAUUGUAGUUGCUUGCCUCACACAUGGAAGCGUUAUCACAAAUGAGGGAGUAACAAUAUUUCAUUCUUAGUUUCUUUGCUUAUUCAAUCAAUAAAUGGAUAUUUGUGCAACCUUCUAGUUCUGAUAUGUGGUGGCAUGAAUAUUUCUAGGUUUAUUUACAAAUAUGACCGCUGGCAAAAUCUGAUAGUAGUAAAAGGAUGUUUUAUUAUCUCAUUUUAAAAGCAACGUCUUAGUAAGAAAAUAGGUUCGGAGAUGUGAUGACGAUACGAAAUGUUAGAAUAGAAAAAUAAAUUUAAGCAAAUCACUCAGUUAAUCAUUCAUUUUGUGAAGUAUCCACAAAUUAGAAACAAUACAUUGACACGGUCAAAAAUGUUUCCAAUCAUUUAUAUUUUGAUAUGUAGGCCUAUAUAUGUUUAUAUCAUUUUGAAACAUCUCUCACCACUGAGAAAGGACUAGUAUUGUGCGAAAGCUCUGGUUCUAUUUCUGAUUGUUUACUUACUUUUUUUUUAGC